rnacentral:misc_RNA from 1 species
GAACGCAUCUUGCGCUCCUUGGUAUUCCAUGGAGCAUGCCUGUUUGAGUGUCACGUAAACCCUCACCCUUGCGAUGUAAAAAUUGCACGUGGUGGAUUUGGACUGUGCCGUAAUUGGCUCGUCCUGAAAUGCAUUAGCUUGCGCUUUUUAGAGUGCUCGGCAUGGUGUGAUAAUUAUCUGCGCCGUCGCCUUAGGCCUCUUCUGUUGGUGCUGCUUCUAAUCGUCCCUCGAGGACACUUUACUUUAUGCUUUGGCCUCAAAUCAGGUAGGACUACCCGCUGAACUUAAG